rnacentral:rRNA from 1 species
GCUUGUAAACUUAGUGGCGGACGGGUGAGUAACACGUGAGCAACCUGCCUAUCAGAGGGGGAUAACGAUUGGAAACGAUCGCUAAUACCGCAUGACAUAGCGAAACCGCAUGGUUUUGCUAUCAAAGAUUUUAUCGCUGAUAGAUGGGCUCGCGUCCGAUUAGAUAGUUGGUGGGGUAACGGCCUACCAAGUCGACGAUCGGUAGCCGGACUGAGAGGUCGAACGGCCACAUUGGGACUGAGACACGGCCCAGACUCCUACGGGAGGCAGCAGUGGGGGAUAUUGCACAAUGGGGGAAACCCUGAUGCAGCGACGCCGCGUGAGGGAAGACGGUCCUCUGGAUUGUAAACCUCUGUCUUCGGGGACGAAACGAGACGGUACCCGAGGAGGAAGCCACGGCUAACUACGUGCCAGCAGCCGCGGUAAUACGUAGGUGGCAAGCGUUGUCCGGAAUUACUGGGUGUAAAGGGAGCGUAGGCGGGCAGGCAAGUCAGGCGUGAAAUAUAUCGGCUCAACCGGUAACGGCGCUUGAAACUGCAGGUCUUGAGUGAAGUAGAGGUUGGCGGAAUUCCUAGUGUAGCGGUGAAAUGCGUAGAUAUUAGGAGGAACACCAGUGGCGAAGGCGGCCAACUGGGCUUUUACUGACG